CCUGGAGGCUGAGAAUCUCCUCAUGGCUUAGCUGGUUUUUUGGGCAGGGUUUUCCUUUCUCCUUCAUCUGAGUUAUAGUCCUCUGUCUUUUCAUUUUUAUAGGUUUUUGGUGUGGUGACUUUUUACAGAUAAUAGGGUUGUAGCCUCUCUUACUUCUGGUGUCUGCCCCCCUUGUGGCUGAAGUCAGGAUGGGGGCUUGGUGUAGGCUUCCUGAUGGGAGGGGCUGACGCCUGCCCCCUGGUAGGAGGAGCUGAUUCUAAUCCCUCUGGUGGGUGGGGCUUAGUCUCUGGAUGGGAUUAGAGGCAGCUGUGUGCCUGAGGGGUCUUUAGGUAGCCUGUUUACUGAGGGGUGGGGCUGUGAUCCCACCUGGAUUGUUGUUUGCCCUGGGGCUUCUCAGUGCUGACUGACAGAGGGUGGGGCCAGAUUUUCCCAAAAUGGCCACCUCCAGAGAAAGGCACAGCUGUUGCAUAUUCCCCAGAGCUUUGCCUUCAAUGUCAUUCCCUCACAACAAGCCACAUUCACCCCUGUUUUCCCAGGAUGUCCUCCAAGAACUGCGGUCAGGUUUGACCCAGAUUCCCUUGGAGACUUUGCUUUGCCCUGGGACUCAGUGCAUGUGAAAGUCUGUGUGCACCUUUUAAGAAUGGGGUCUCCGUUUCCCCUAGUCCCGUGGCGCUCUUGCACACAAGCCCCACUGGCCUUCAAUGCCAGAUGUGCCAGGGGCUCUUUCUCUCUGUGCCAGAUCCCCACACGUGAGAGUCUGAUGUGUGGCUCAGAACUCCUACUCCUGUAGGUGAGUCUCUGUGAACCAGUUAGUUUCCAGUCUGUGGAGCUUCCCACGCAGGAGGUAUGGGGUUGUUUAUAUGACGAAAUCACCCCUCCUAUCUCUUGAUGUGGCCUCCUCUUUUUCUUCUGGAGUAGGGUAUCUUUUUCAAGGUUUCCAGUCCAUUUUGGUGAAGAGUGCUCAGUCUUUAGUUGUGAAUUUUGUUGUUUUUGGGAGAGAAGUUGAGCUCCAGUCCUUCUAUUCUGCCAUCUUAGCCUGCACCUGAUAGAUUCAUUCUUACAAAGAAAAAUGUCUAGGUUGAAGAUUUGGUUCCAUAUUGUAGAAGCAGACACUCAGUAAUUCUGUUUUUUUUAAUCUUUGUCUAUACGAAACUGAAUUUUCAUUUUACUGUAAAUCCUGGAAGAUCACCUAAGCAGGUUAUGCCUUAGUUCUUAGAAAAUUGUUCUCUAGACCUCAAAAUAAUGUGCGUUUGUUUUUUGGUUUUUGUUUUUUGUUUUUUUGGCUUCCCCACUGGCAUGUGCAGUUCCCAGGCCAAGGAUCAGAUCCGACCUAUGCUGCAGCUGCCCCAAUGCUGGAUCCUUAACCCACUGUGCCAGGCUGGGGAUCAAACCUGUGUCAGGGAUCUGCUGGGGAUCAGAAACACAGCUGAACCCGUUGCACCACAGCAGGAACUCCCAAUGUGCUAUUUUAAAUAAGUGCUAUUAUCUAAUCUGUGUCAUAAAUUGUAAUCUAAACUUUUUAAAGAAAUGUAUGUUAUUAUUUAAAUAUUUUAAAUAUAACAAAAAAAACCAUUACCAUGCAUAUACCUAAUAGCUAGACAGACCAAAUCUCAACAUUUUGCCAUAUUUGCUUCAGAUAUUUUACAGAUUCAGUUAAAAUGCCUAUUUAAUCCUAUUCAUUUCCUCCCUUCCUUGAAGUAUCCAUUAUCCUGACAGUUGAUAUAUGUCAUCCAGUCCAAACAUUUUUUACUACAUACAUCUGUAAACAAUAUAUAGUACAUUUGCAUGUUUCUCAAUGUUAAAUAUAUGGCAUCAAACUGUAUCUCCUACAACUUGCUUUUCUACCCUUUUUGGUUCAAGACUUAUCAUUAUUGAUAAGUGAAACUUAUUCGUUUAACUUAGUUUAGCAGUCUAUUUGAUGAACAUACCACAAUUUACUUAUCCAAGGUUCGAUCAUGAAACUUUUAGGUUCUUUCCAAAUUCUUGCCAUUACAAAUAAUGUCACAAUGAGAAAGGGGAACCCUCCUACACUGUUGGUGGGAACGUAAAUUGGUAUAACCACUAUGGAAAACAGUAUGGAGAUACCUUAGAAAACUAAAUAUAGAUAACUACCAUAUGACCCAGCAAUCCCACUCCUGGGCAUAUAUCCUGACAAAACUUUCACUGAAAAAGAUACAUACACACCUCUGUUCACUGUAGCACUAUUCACAAUAGCCAAGACAUGGAAACAACUUAAAUGUCUAUCGACAGAUGAAUGAAUUAAGAAGAUGUGGCAUAUACACGUACACACAUAUACAAACACACACACAAUGGAAUACUACUCAUCCAUAAAAAAUAACAAAAUAAUGCCAUGUGCAGCAACACGGAUGGAACUAGAGACUCUCAUGCCAAGUCAAGUAAGGCAGAAAGAGAAAGACAAAUACCAUAUAUAUCACUUAUAUCUGGAAUCUAAUAUAUGGUACAAAUGAACCUACCUACGGAAAAGAAAUGAAUUCAUGGACUUGGAGAACAGACUUGUGGUUGCCAAGACAGAGGGAGUGGGAUGGACUGGGAGUUUGGGGUUAGUAGAUGCAAACUUUUGCAUUUGGAGUGGAUAAGCAAUGAGAUCCUGCUGUACAGCACGGGGAACUACAUCUAGUUACCUGCGAUGGAACAUGAUGGAGGAUAAUGUGAGAAAAAGAAUAUAUACAUAUAUAUAUAUAUAUAUGAAUGACUGGGUCACUUCACUGUACAGCAGAAAUUGACAGAAUACUGUAAGUCAACUAUAAUAGAAAAAUUAGGAGUUCCCGUCGUGGCGCAGUGGUCAACGAAUCCGACUAGGAAUUAUGAGGUUGCAGGUUCGGUCCCUGGCCUUGCUCAGUGGGUUAAGGAUCCGGCGUUGCCGUGACCUGUGGUGUAGGUUGCAGACGCGGCUCGGAUCUCGCGUUGCUGUGGCUUUGGAGUAGGCUGGCGGAUACAGCUCCGAUUAGACCCCUUGCCUGGGAACCUCCACAUGCCACGGGAGCAGCCCAAGAAAUGGCAAAAAGACAAAAAAAAAAAAUUAAAUCUUUAAAAAAAAUAAAAUCAGUGAGAACUUAAAAAAUAAAAAAAUAAUAACAAUGCCACAAUGAACAUCCUCCUGCAUGCCCCCUUUGACAUAGUGCAUGGAUCGGAAUUCACUAGACUGUAGAGUACAUGUAUUUCACCUUUACUAGAUAUUGUCAAAUUGUACUCCAAGUGAUCACAUAAAGGUACCCUUCCACCUACUGUAUUUAAGUUCCCAAAACAAUACUUUUGCAAAAAAACCUUUUAUGUCUCAAAUAAUUUUCGAAAUAAAUAACUUUCCAUACUCAUUACCAAUUUGAAGUAACAAACCAGCUUUCAAUUUUAUAUUUGGUCUUCUAACAAAGAAAUCUAUAUUAAUACAACAAAAUCCAACAAGGCCAAAAUAUUCCAUGUGGCUUCUCUGGGGCAUCUUUCUUUUAACGCCUAUCGAUGAAACAGGAGCUAUGCUAGACUCUUAAUCCUAGUAAUAUUACAGAAAAAUGUUUUUCAAACUUGUUUUAAUCCAGAUAAUAAGAAAUAUAUCUUACACUCCAACAGAAUUCCUAUCUGCUUACAUUCAUUAUAUAUGUAUACUAUGAAACAAAAGUCUCACAAAAUAAUCCUCACCGUUAUUAGCAGCAACUCCAUUCUAUAUCUUUUUUCCUCUGAUGCUGGUCACUUACUAAGCUGAUUUCAGAACUAAUGAAUUGUGCCUACAGUUUGGAAAAAACACUGCUGUUAGUGUACAAUUUCCAUAUUAACUAAAACACAAAGUUAAAGUAACUUACCCAGGGUCUGUUUACUGUUAAAUAAACAGUAAAAUCUAAAAUUCAAACUGAGCUCCAAAAGCUACACUUCUUGCAGCCCACUCAUUUCUCCCUGCAAUACAGUAUUAGUACUAAAUUUACACCAAGUGAAACAGCAAACACUUCAAUUUAUGCUCACAUGAACCAACGCAAAGAAAAAUAAUUUCUGUAAAAAUAUGGUGAUGUGAUUAAACAAGUUUCAAAUCAGUAACAUACCUAUCACUUCAUUCAUGCAUAUAAACUUCUGAAAGAGUCAAGGUAUCACUGCUAAUCUUCCAUUUUACCUCAUAGCCAUUUAUCAUAACUUAAUUACUGAUGAAAUAUACAUAAAUAUGCUACCCUAUCCUUGAAAAAACCCUUAAUUUCUCAAAGAAUCAAAUAUUUAGUACCUAUGAGCUCCUUCUCAAACCAAAAGACAAACAACUACUUACGUCAAACUUUAACUAACAAAGCCAAUGACUAAUUCUAAAGUAAAUACAGUCCAGGUUAUAACUGAGCAUGUAUAGGUGCUCAAAUAUAUCUUUUUAAAUGUUUUCUAAAUAAAUAAACCUCAGCUGGAAUAGAGUUUACAUUAAUACACAACCACAUUUCUAUGGUUACUAUUUAUCAGAAAUAAUUCCAUCUUGGUUAUACAUGGACAGCAUAGGUCAGUCUAGCCAUCUAUCCACCUAAUUCCUUUAUUAGGCAGCCCAUUCAGGCUACAGUAGAGUGCAAAAAAAAAAUUAGGACAUUAUUUGACUCACUUGGCUUAAUGUUUUAACUUCAAUACAUAAAACCAUUAUAGUAAAAUGUUUUAUCUUGCACAUAAAUCAUAACCAGUUCUUGGUCUUUAUUAAAAUCCAUUAAAUAUCCCACAGGGAAGCUCACAGGUUAUUAACUGCUGACAGACAGUUGAUACAUAUAUACACUAAAUCAAAUCAUAUGU
rnacentral:lncRNA from 1 species